rnacentral:rRNA from 1 species
UACGAAGGGGGCUAGCGUUGCUCGGAAUCACUGGGCGUAAAGCGCACGUAGGCGGUUCGGUAAGUCGGGGGUGAAAUCCUGGAGCUCAACUCCAGAACUGCCUUCGAUACUGGCGACCUUGAGUCUGGGAGAGGUGAGUGGAACUCCGAGUGUAGAGGUGAAAUUCGUAGAUAUUCGGAAGAACACCAGUGGCGAAGGCGGCUCACUGGCCCGGUACUGACGCUGAGGUGCGAAAGCGUGGGGAGCAAACAGG